AGAGUUUGAUCCUGGCUCAAAAUCAACGCUGGCGGCGUGCCUCAGACAUGCAAGUCGAACGCGAAAGGUUCCUUCGGGAACCGAGUAGAGUGGCGCACGGGUGAGUAACACGUGAGUAAUUUGCCUUCGGGUGGGGAAUAACAAUCGGAAACGGUUGCUAAUACCGCAUAAUGCAGCGGCAUCUAUGAUGACAGUUGUUAAAGCGGGGGAUCGUAAGACCUCGCGCCUGAAGAGAAGCUCGCGGCAGAUUAGCUAGUUGGUAGGGUAAUGGCCUACCAAGGCGACGAUCUGUAGCCGGCCUGAGAGGGCGGUCGGCCACACUGACACUGACAUACGGGUCAGACUCCUACGGGAGGCAGCAGUCGGGAUUUUUGGGCAAUGGGCGAAAGCCUGACCCAGCAACGCCGCGUGAAGGAUGAAUCUUUUUCGGAGUGUAAACUUCACAAGAAUAAGAAGAAUAAGUGUGGGAUAAUACCCUUCACGAUGACGGUACCAUUUGUAAGCUCCGGCUAACUCCGUGCCAGCAGCCGCGGUAAUACGGGGGGGGAGCAAGUGGUUGUUUCUGAUUUACUGGGCGUAAAGGGCGCGUA
rnacentral:rRNA from 1 species